rnacentral:rRNA from 1 species
UGGGGAAUAUUGCACAAUGGGCGAAAGCCUGAUGCAGCAACGCCGCGUGAGUGAUGAAGGUCUUCGGAUUGUAAAGCUCUGUCUUUUGGGACGAUAAUGACGGUACCAAAGGAGGAAGCCACGGCUAACUACGUGCCAGCAGCCGCGGUAAUACGUAGGUGGCGAGCGUUGUCCGGAUUUACUGGGCGUAAAGGGUGCGUAGGCGGAUGUUUAAGUGAGAUGUGAAAUACCCGGGCUUAACUUGGGUGCUGCAUUUCAAACUGGAUAUCUAGAGUGCAGGAGAGGAGAAUGGAAUUCCUAGUGUAGUGGUGAAAUGCGUAGAGAUUAGGAAGAACACCAGUGGCGAAGGCGAUUCUCUGGACUGUAACUGACGCUGAGGCACGAAAGCGUGGGUAGCAAACAGGGUUAGAUACCCUGGUAGUCCACGCCGUAAACGAUGAGUACUAGGUGUAGGAGGUAUCGACCCCUUCUGUGCCGCAGUAAACACAUUAAGUACUCCGCCUGGGAAGUACGAUCGCAAGAUUAAAAC